AUUUGGGUUUCUAAAGGGCUGUUUCAAAAAAAAAUAAGCCAGGGAACUUUAAAAGUAGGCAGUGCUGUAGUACUACAUUUCUUAGAACAUUUUAAACUAGCACUCAUUUUUUUCAGUCUAUUUACUUGAAGAAGCACUAUUAUAAUCAAAGAAAAUUUUUGAGUGGGCAAUUUAACUUAAAGGUUUUCCGUUUCAAAUUGCUUUAUUUCAGGGAAAUAAUUUUCCAGUUGUUUUUGCUAUAUUCUGCAAAUAAAAACUGUUUCCUUUUUCACUUAAACUUUGGUAGGAAACAAACUAAAGCAGACAAACAUUUCCUGUUAUGUUUGUUGCUUUCUUUAAUCCAAUGGAUAAAAAAGUAAAACCCUGUAAACAUUAUUUUAUUUUUUUUAUGCAAUACCAUGCUGUAAAUAUGGUUCAAGUAAGGAUGUACCUAUGAUUGAAUCUUUAAUUCUGCACAGUUAGAGUUUAUAUAUAAACGUGUCUUGACAAUCAAGGACUUUCAUGCGAGUCUUCCUUUAUGAUGUUUAUUAUUGUUAUGCAUUCCAUUUGUUUUGAAGUGAGUACCAUUGUGCUAAUUUGUAUUGUCUGAAAGUAUGUAAUGUUUUUACAGCUUGUUUUUAAGAAUCUGUAAAUAUGUACAAACCACAGUACUGCUUUAUGUUAGAAGGCAUAUGAUGUUGUACUGUAAGCAAUAAUACACAGCAGUGCUAACUUUACAAGUAGCAUCAGGAACGUUCUAAAAACAUUUCAGAGUUGUUAAUUAUCCUUAUUUCAUUUAAUAAUGAUUAUCUUUAAUCAGUUUUUAUAAGCAGAUUCCAUUGUUCCUCCUGUUGGAACGUAACACUGUUUACACAGCAUAAUUGACGCUGCAGGGGGGACAGGCUAGAUCUGGCUUAUCUGCGCUCACUCUCACUAAGCAUUGAAUGGCCUUACCACUCUUCUGCAAGAUGGAGGAAGACCGCACACAUAGUGCCCAUCACACUGAAGGAAGGGAUGUGGGUUUUUUCCUGCUUCUGUACUGCUACCUAACUUUGUGGUUUGCUUUGGAUUUUAAUAUUUGUUUCUGUUUUAGAUUCAAGCCCGUAAGUUUUGAGGUGAAUUCAGCUCCAUUGUGAAAUAGAUAGUUCUCUUCAUAUUUCAUAGCUACAUUUCAAUAAUUCUAGACUUUCUACUUUGGUUUUUAGAUACUUAUUUUUCAAGCUUGAUUUCUCAGCUGAUCAGAUGAGUUUAUUCAACUUCAAUACAAAGAAAAACAAAAUUGUAGUUUGAAGUGAGUAAUAUACUGUACAGAACAGCUAUUUGAACACACACAUCACUGCUUUAGAGAUAAAACCGCCAAUUUAUAAAUGUAUAUGACUUACAUUUUAUAGGAGAAAUGUUUUUAAAAUGCUAGUCAUUUAUAUAAUGUGCUUUGAAGGAUUUGCUAGUCCACUUCUGUCACUUUUUAGUACACUGGUAUCUUUUAUAUGUAAUGUAUGCUUUUUAUUAUUGUAGCAAAGCAUUUCAGUAGAAAGAAUUUUGCAAAAAUAUGGGGGAAAUUUUUCAUUGUUGGAUUUGAAUUAUACUGGAUUUUAUCUGUGUAGUCUUACUUGUCUUUAUUUUAAUGCUGUUUGGAAGGGAACUUGGUAUCCAAAUAAAGCAGGUAACCUCAUUUUACUUCAAGGGCAUACUGUGUAGUGCUGAAUUUAAUCUGGAAAUCAGAUGAUUUUGAAAAGAAAAACAAGUUUAUAAAAAUUGUACAGGAGAAAUUAAAUGUGUGAUGGAAAUCCUGAUGAUGGAGAACGUUGAAUUUUCUGAUACAUAGUAUUAUUUUCUUGGGAUCCCCUAUGACUUCUUUGUAUUUCAGCUAAUAAAAGAAAAACUCUGCCAUUGAAACUGGUAGGCUAAUAGGAUGUUCAGAUUAUACAGUAUUACUUUUCCUAUCCCAUUUUUGACCCUUUCUCAAUCACUGUAAAUUUUUAUUUUCUAUUUCCUAUUGAUAAUUAAAUAUGUACAUAAUAUAGAUACUGUUGUAUAGAACUGAAUGAAUUGGGUUGCUGUGCUUGAAUGGGUAGCUAACUGAAAAUACUUCACGAAUACUGAGAAUUCAUAAAAUGCCAGAGCAAAUUGUUGAGAGGAAAGAGGGCACCGUGUGUCCUGGGAAGGUCACAGCAGAUUGUGUCAGCAAUUCCAUAGAGUAAAGUAGAGGAAUCAGCUGUAAACCCAGUAUUGGACACAAACUGGGUCUUCACUUCCCUUCCUUCCCCAGAAAGAUAGCACUAAAUUUCAAAAUCUACUCAGGUGAAAAAGGUGUUUUCAAAGCCGACCUGUUCUCUAAGAAGUUUGAUGAGUUUCACGACUUUUGGCACUAUUGUCCUUAGUUAACUUUGCCAUUUGAAGUUUAUAAUACCAUUUUAUGUAUUGUGAUACUAAAGGAAAUUGUUUUGCUUUAUUUUAAAUUGAAUUAUUAGACUAACUUAUAUUUGCAAAUUCUGCAUUUUAAAUGUGGACACUGGCUGUUUGAAAAAUAAAAUACAGAAAUCAGUUUUACAAAUAAUUUUCUAGAUGAAUUUUUCAUAAUACUUUGAGCCAAAUAACUAAUGGUAAAUAUGCAAAAAUUGUGGUACAUAGAUAAGAAAAUAGGAUGUCUGUAUGGAGUUAGCAGUUACACAAAUUGAGUAAUAAUUAUCAGGGCCUUUAUUGUAGCUUUGUGUGGAAUAUUAUUUAUUAGACAGUUCUAAAAUGCAAGAGUCAAGUGUUACUGUCAUGGAAUAUUUAGGCUGGAAAUAUUUUUAAACAUGAAAAUAAGAAUAUAUGUAUUUUUUCUUUAUAGAUAAGAUUUUAUCAAUGCACUGGCAAUAGUGUACAUGGGAUUUUUUUUCCCCUUUCAUUAGUGUAGGUAGCUUUGUUUCAUCCAUCUACCACUCUGCCAGUACCUUAUCUUGUGACAAGACGCAUUGUGAGAAAGCUGUCUGUAGCCAACAGUCCAGCCUGGGUCCAUGGAAAAUUAAACUAACUGGCCCUUGCGGGGAUCAGUCCUCGGGCCCAGGUUUCUUAGCAUGGCAACGCCGUAACCAAAUGUACGUGGUGAUGCUACUGACAGUCUACUAGCUUAUUUCCUCCAUCCCAGUUCCUGACUGAUUCAAAUGGGUGGGGAGAUACACUCUACAUGACACUUCUCCCUGCCUCUGAAGAUGAUAUAAAAAAAAUAAAAUUGAAGUCACUUGAAUUAAUAUGUUGUCACCGAGUCUUACUUGACAAUUCAU
ensembl:lncRNA